UAAGGUCCUGCUGGUACUGAAUCCCAGUGUCAGUGUCUGGGACCUUGAUUCUAAGAUUUUUGCCUUCGGUUUUGUGAGUUGCUCCAGUGUUUUUCCCAGCUGCUGAGAAAAAGCAUUUCAUUUUGUUUUUGGUUUUCCCUCAGGUGAUUUGAGUUGUGAUUCUUAGCACUUGCACCUGAAGACAAACUACAACUCCUGUGACAGCUGGCUGGUAAUCUCCGAGUUCACAAUGUUUGCAGUCUGCUUUAAUUUUGAAAAGAUGUGCUUAAAUAACCGGCAACAACAGUUAUCUGAUGGAGAAAUGAGGAGAAAAGUACCUGGACAAUAAGCCAAUUUUAGGAAUUUCAGUUUUUGAAUGCCUUUUUCGGACUGAUACUGGGCUUGAUAUGAGGGAAGUGAAGAGGAAGAGAGGACAGUCAGUCCACGGUCUUGAAAAGUCCAUAAUUGACCUCACUGAGGUUCAAUAAAUGAAUAAAUAAACAAAGAACA
rnacentral:lncRNA from 1 species